AUUGAACGCUGGCGGCAGGCUUAACACAUGCAAGUCGAGCGGAGACUUCGGUCUUAGCGGCGAACGGGUGAGUAAUACCUAGGAAUCCGCCUAUUAGUGGGGGAUAACGAAUCGAAAGGUUCGCUAAUAUCGCAUACGUCCUACGGGAGAAAGGGGGGGAUCUUCGGACCUCUCGCUAAUAGAUGAGCCUAGGCCGGAUUAGCUAGUUGGUAGGGUAAAGGCCUACCAAGGCGACGAUCUGUAGCUGGUCUGAGAGGAUGGCCAGCCACACUGGAACUGAGACACGGUCCAGACUCCUACGGGAGGCAGCAGUGGGGAAUAUUGGACAAUGGGGGCAACCCUGAUCCAGCCAUGCCGCGUGUGUGAAGAAGGCCUC
rnacentral:rRNA from 1 species